rnacentral:tRNA from 1 species
GUUGUUGUAGCUUAUUAAAGUUCGGCACUGAAAAUGCCGCGAUGGAAAAUUUUUUUCCCAUAAACA